CCUACGAGAGGCAGCAGUGGGGAAUAUUGGACAAUGGGGGGAACCCUGAUCCAGCGACGCCGCGUGAGUGAAGAAGUAUUUCGGUAUGUAAAGCUCUAUCAGCAGGGAAGAAAGAAAUGACGGUACCUGACUAAGAAGCCCCGGCUAACUACGUGCCAGCAGCCGCGGUAAUACGUAGGGGGCAAGCGUUAUCCGGAUUUACUGGGUGUAAAGGGAGCGUAGACGGCGAUGCAAGUCUGAAGUGAAAGGCGGGGGCUCAACCCCUGGACUGCUUUGGAAACUGUAUGGCUGGAGUGCAGGAGAGGUAAGUGGAAUUCCUAGUGUAGCGGUGAAAUGCGUAGAUAUUAGGAGGAACACCAGUGGCGAAGGCGGCUUACUGGACGGUAACUGACGUUGAGGCUCGAAAGCGUGGGGAGCAAACAGGAUUAGAUACCCGAGUAGUC
rnacentral:rRNA from 1 species